rnacentral:rRNA from 1 species
AUGGGAGGACUUCAAGAACACAGGGGUUGUGCCAUGCAAUUAAAGGAUCUGUUUCAACGACAUGACUGGAGAAGAGAUAUUUGUGGCAAACAAACGAUCGUACACUGUAAAGUGUCACACGGGUCGCACACAGAGCACAAUGUAUGGGAGAGGUUGGAGGAAGUUUUAUGCAAACAACAAGCCGGGGAAGGGUCAGCUGGUGUUGUCCUACUUGGACGAGCCUCCCCUAGGGUAGUUGUUUGUGUGAUCCAGAUUUGCAACGGAUCUGAAGAUGAGCAGUCUAUGUAUGAGGAUGAUGCCAUGGAAGCUUCAGAUGAAGAUGAUGAGGAUGGAGAAGCUUCCAGCGACGAUGAUGAAGGCAUCGUUCGCACUAGGGGGGCUUCAACUGAAUGA